UACGGGGGGGGCAAGCGUUGUUCGGAAUUACUGGGCGUAAAGGGUCUGUAGGCGGCCAUUUAAGUCAGACGUGAAAUCCCUCAGCUUAACUGGGGAACUGCGUCUGAGACUGGAUGGCUCGAGUGCAGGAGAGGAAUGCGGAAUUCCAGGUGUAGCGGUGAAAUGCGUAGAUAUCUGGAGGAACACCGGUGGCGAAGGCGGCAUUCUGGACUGCAACUGACACUGAAAGACGAAAGCCAGGGGAGCAAACGGG
rnacentral:rRNA from 1 species